rnacentral:rRNA from 1 species
UGAGGAAUUUUCCGCAAUGGACGCAAGUCUGACGGAGCAACGCCGCGUGCAGGACGAAGGUCUUCGGAUCGUAAACUGCUUUUCCCAGGGAAGAGCAAGGACGGUACCUGGGGAAUAAGCCCCGGCUAACUACGUGCCAGCAGCCGCGGUAAUACGUAGGGGGCAAGCGUUGUCCGGAUUUAUUGGGCGUAAAGCGCCCGCAGGCGGUCGCGUCAGUUUGGGGUGACAGCCCCUGGCUUAACCGGGAGAGGACCUCGAAGACGGCGUGACUUGAGGGCCAGAGAGGGACAUGGAACUCCGGGUGGAGUGGUGAAAUGCGUAGAGAUCCGGAAGAACACCAAAGGCGAAGGCAGUGUCCUGGCUGGCACCUGACGCUCAGGGGCGAAAGCGAGGGGAGCGAACGGGAUUAGAUACCCCGGUAGUCCUCGCCGUAAACGAUGACCACUAGGUGUGGGAGGGAUCGACCCCUUCCGUGCCGGCGUUAACGCACUAAGUGGUCCGCCUGGGGAGUACGGUCGCAAGAUUA